CAUUUGGUAAGGAGGCAGGCAGAAUUUUGCUCGAAUCAGGGAGAAGUAUCUUGAUAGAAUACCGGUUAUUGUGGAGAAGGCUGAACGAAGUGAGAUACCCGACAUU